rnacentral:lncRNA from 1 species
UUGGACAAAAUAUUUUUUGGUAUCAUUUGAAAUUCCUUAAAUAUAUGGGAGGAUUUAGACAAAAAACAUUUAAGAUUUAAAUAUUUUUUUGGUCCCUAUAUUUUGCUAUUUUUAACAAUUGUCCCUACAUUUCAAUUUUUUUUUUUUAAAAAAUCGUAUAGUUUAUGUCGGUUACCAAAUUUAGUCCCUAUGUUUGUUUCAUAG